rnacentral:rRNA from 1 species
GAUGAACGCUGGCGGCGUGCCUAAUACAUGCCAGUCGAGCGAACAGACGAGGAGCUUGCUCCUCUGACGUUAGCGGCGGACGGGUGAGUAACACGUGGAUAACCUACCUAUAAGACUGGGAUAACUUCGGGAAACCGGAGCUAAUACCGGAUAAUAUAUUGAACCUCAUGGUUCAAUAGUGAAAGACGGUUUUGCUGUCACUUAUAGAUGGAUCCGCGCCGCAUUAGCUAGUUGGUAAGGUAACGGCUUACCAAGGCAACGAUGCGUAGCCGACCUGAGAGGGUGAUCGGCCACACUGGAACUGAGACACGGUCCAGACUCCUACGGGAGGCAGCAGUAGGGAAUCUUCCGCAAUGGGCGAAAGCUUGACGGAGCAACGCCGCGUGAGUGAUGAAGGUCUUCGGAUCGUAAAACUCUGUUAUUAGGGAAGAACAAAUGUGUAAGUAACUAUGCACGUCUUGACGGUACCUAAUCAGAAAGCCACGGCUAACUACGUG